rnacentral:lncRNA from 1 species
UAAGAGAGAGUCAGGGGUCUGGAGUCGGGUGCAAUGGAGGACCAGAGCUGGAGAGGUGGAGGCGGUGGCUCCGUGGCUUGGAAGCGAAGGUUGGGUGAGCAAUUGAAUGGUCAUCCCGUUCAGAGACAGAGAAAGAGACGAGUUUAAUUACCAUUCCCUCCAGCUAGGAAGUAUCGCGGCACCAUCCUAUUUGACGAAGCCAUGAGUAGAAAAUUCUUUGAUGAGAAUUGCUUCUGCUUCUAGUCUUCUUAUUUCAGAUCUUCAGAUCAGAGGGGGCUAGUCUCCACUCGUUCUACCUAACCCGUGGUCA